AAUUAACUCCUAAGCCUGUAUUGCUAAGUUUUUUAAAUCGCUAUUUUUUAAAAAAUAUGUGGUUCAGGCCGUGACAAGCUGUCACCAGGGCGAGCAUAGAAAUGUGGACGUCUCCCGUAUUGGAAAGGUGUUUUAUGUC
rnacentral:ncRNA from 1 species